UAAAUACUUGUCAAAAGUUUUCCUGACUAAUAUGUUCCUUGAACAAGUGAAACUUGUGUUAUUGUUAUCAAAAUUAUGAUAGCCUGCUAGUUCUUAUGUUUUCUGUCCUCCCUUUACAGAUCUGAUACAUGAAGAGAGCAAAGAUUCUUGGUCUACAAUGCAUUGUUGCAAAGCCAUUGAAGUGCCCCUCAUUGAAGGCCGUGGUUGGCGAAGGAGUUCACUUUUAGAGGCGUAGAUGGCUGUAUUAGUAUCUGAUUCAUUCUCCUUAUUUCAAGUCUCUACAGGUUUGCAGGUUAUCAAACAGCAAUGGUGAUCAGCAUCAGGUUCAUCUCUCCUAACAAUUUUUUCUCCAUUUCAGAUCGAGUGUUACAUAGUGCCAUUUUUCUUUUAUUUUAAGGUUGCACACCAUGAUUGCCAUCAACAAUGGUGGGUGACACCCAGCUAGUGUGUGGAAUCAAAGUGGGUGGACACUACACCACAGGAAUACGCAUAUGAAAAGGAGAGAUUCCGCACCCAGUUUGGACCAGGUGGCAAUGGCAGACCGUUGGCCGAGUUAUUGGAUGGACCCCAUGAUGACAACGAACUUCGAUCAGCAUCAGAAAGCAAUGUCAGAUUAAGAAGACAUGAAGUAGAAUAGCAGAAGCCAUGUAAAGGAUCACAACGUUAGAUUCUUGGAUAUAAUAUGCGUUGCAAUUAACGGAGCAUAGAGGAAGGCGAGGAAGAGUCCCACAACAUCAUGGAGCUGGAGAUGACUAGUGCAAAGAAGAAGCCUUCGGUCUCUGUGAAGAAGACAUCAGCGCCACCCCCUCGGCCACUGUCGUCGCCUAUGAAACCGAUCAAGGUGAGGAGCUUCACGAGGGAGGAGAUCGACCGGUACUGGAGGACGAGAAGAAUGGUCGAAGAGGACCACCUCCUCUUCGCCGAGAAGGCGGCGGCCCGGAUCAGUGCCAAGGCUCUCGAGGGGGGCGACCACCAACAAUUCGAGGAACUGCUGAAGGAGAUGUUAGACCAGCAGCGAAAACGAGGAGCUACGGAUAGGAAUCAAGGACUGGUGGACCAAGAGCAAGUAUGCCUAUCUGAACCAGCCGGCCAUCAGAUCCAUGGGGGAUAAUGCAGCGGCCGAACGAUCCAACGCCACCACGUAUCUCCCACAGAAGCCCUGCUGUUACUCCCCUCCUGCCAUGUAGCACUUCUCUGUCACAUCAUUUGGAGUUCAUCAGACGCUCGAGGUCAGAACGCCGGUGGCAAACAAAUGUGGUGGGAUUUUAUGUACAUAAAUAAAUAUUUGGGAACUGAUGUGGCGGUGUGCAGCCUCACCAUUUGGGGUUGUGCUUAAUGACUUUACCUAUA